UCGACCAUAUAACGUUGAAACUCUGCUUCCCGUACGAUCACCAAAGUUAAGCAAUGUCCUGCCUGGCCAGUUACCUAGAUGGGUGACUGCUUGAGAAUAGCAGGUGCUGUAAG